GUGGUGCCACCGUGCACUGCGCACAUGUAUAAACCCCACAGGCGUAGACAACUCGAACAAUGUCUGAGGGAUUACGGGUUCGGCAUGGCGUAAGCCUUCGUCGGGCCCCUCCAUCCCGGGGUGUCCCGCAUCGGGCUGUGUUCGCUCCUCACGGGGCGUUCGCUGUCCCGAGUGGGCAUCCCUCGAGUGCGUAGGAUGCGACCCGAAAGAUGGUGAACUAUGCCUGAUCAGGCCGAAGUCAGGGGAAACCCUGAUGGAGGGCCGAAGCAAUUCUGACGUGCAAAUCGAUUGUCAGAGUUGGGCAUAGGGGCGAAAGACCAAUCGAACCAUC
rnacentral:rRNA from 1 species